GGAUGCUGCAAACCGAAGGUUGAGUGGCACCGGGGUGACAUGGACAGAUGUAAAGAAAACUGUGUCUCCAGGCCUGUUAAGACCACAGUUCCCUUCGGUCCGAAACGAGUCUUGGUGACUGAGCAGAUUCCUUCUCAGCACCCAGGAUCAGCCAGCAGUGGCCAGGCCCAGUGGGUCCUGUGUCCUUCCAACUCCCAGCGUGUCUCUCCACAAGCACAGAAACCUGUCGCAGGUCAGAAGUCAGUGCUAAAGCAGUUGCCAGCUGCCAGCGUUCCUCGACCUGCGUCCCGGCUAAGUAACCCCCAGAAGAGUGAGCAGCCACAGCCUGCAGCCUCAGGAAAUUCUGAAAAGGAACAGACAUCCAUCCAGAAAACUGAAGACUCAAAAAGGGAGUGGACUUUGGAAGAUUUUGACAUUGGCCGCCCACUAGGAAAAGGGAAGUUUGGAAAUGUCUAUUUGGUGAGGGAGAAGCAAAGCAAGUUCAUCCUGGCUCUGAAGGUGCUGUUUAAAGUACAGCUGGAGAAGGCAGGUGUGGAGCACCAGCUUCGGAGAGAAGUGGAGAUCCAGUCCCACCUGCGGCACCCCAACAUCCUCGGGUUUAUGGGUAUUUCCAUGAUGCCACCAGAGUUUAUCUAAUUCUAGAAUAUGCGCCCCUUGGAACAGUGUAUAGAGAGCUUCAAAAACUCUCCAAGUUUGACGAGCAGAGAAUAGCUACCUACAUCACGGAGUUGGCAAAUGCUUUGUCCUACUGCCAUUCAAAGAGAGUCAUCCACAGAGACAUCAAGCCAGAGAACCUGCUGCUUGGGUCAAAUGCGGAGUUGAAGAGCGCAGACUUCGGGUGGUCUGCGCAUGCUCCAUCUUCCAGGAGAACCACGCUGUGUGGCACCGUGGACUACGGGCCCCCGGAUAUGAUUGAAGGUCGGAUGCAUGAUGAGAAGGUGGAUCUCUGGAGCCUGGGUGUGCUCUGCUAUGAGUUCCUAGUGGGGAUACCUUUGAGGGGACACCUUUGAGGCACACACUUAUCAGGAGACCUACAGAAGGAUAUCACGGGUUGAAUUCACAUUCCCUGACUUUGUGACAGAGGGAGCCAGGGACCUCAUUUCAAGACAGUUAAAACACAACUCAAGCCAAAGGCUAACACUAGCGGAAGUCCUUGAGUACCCUUGGAUCAAAGCUAAUUCCUCAAAACCUCCAACUGGCCACAGUAGCAAAGAGGCAACUAGCAAAUAAUCUUAGGGAAUCUGGAGCCAUGGG